rnacentral:lncRNA from 1 species
GGACAACAGCUGGCAGAGAUACCAAAGGAAAGCAAGGCUCACUGUAGCCUCGCUUCUGCCAUGUGUCAGGCCACUCGAACUUUAUUAACUCUAGGAAUGAAGAUGUUUAUAUGUGACGAGACUGAAGCUCGACUUGUCAUCUCUAAGUGCACGUAGCUGUGGAUUCCUAGAACUGGGCAGCCCUGCUCUACAGUGCGACAACAUGAAGGCCAGCAGUCAUUGGACAACAGGGAGAAAGGAGUUCAGCACCUGUGAAGCAAAGCCAAGAAGUGGCACCUGCAGGCUGGCAGAGCUAUCGCUGGUCCUGAAGCUGAGAGACAGGUGUGUGUUAUCCCUUCUGCAGCCAGACACCCAGCUGUCCUGGUUUCUUUCCUGUUGCAGUGAUGAAAUACCCUGCCAGAAGCAACUUCAAGGAAGAAGUGGUUGCUCCAGUUCCAGGGUACACUCCUUCACAGCAGCGAGAAGUCAAGGCAGCAGGAAUCUGAAGCAGCUAGUCACAUGUGUAGUUGAGAGCCUAGAGAGAAUGAUUGCCUGCCGGACUGGUGAGCUCCAGGUUUAGUGAGAGACUCUGUCUCAAAAAUUAAGAUGGAGAUAGAUGCAGGAAAACCCUCAUAUUGACAUCUGAUAUCCACAUGCACCUGUAUACACACUCAUGAAUACACACACACACACACACACACACACACCCCUUAUGGACUAACCAUCUAUAAACAAUCUUUUCUUAUUGCUAUUCCCUAAAAAGGUCCCCAUCACACCAUUCUCAACAUAUCUGCAGUGUAUCAGGAAUUAUACCUCACCUACACAUUAUCUUCAGUACAUAGGGGAGUGUGCAAAACUUAUGCUAGCAGAGUUAUAUGUAUAGGAAAGUAUAUAAAAGCUGUAUACUACCCAGGUCUUAGGGGGAUUUCGGUUUCCUCGGUAGUCUUGGACCCAACACCACACAGGUCCUACAGAAUAUCUGUACAUGAAUCACAAAGCCAUAGCCAGACACAGUAAUGCCACAGCACUCAUUGAUGUACACAGUCACUCUAGAAUUUUCCCUGUGCCCUUAUAAACCCAUUCCAUCCAUCGAUCCUACCGCACUUUGGAUGAAUGCUCUCAAAGGUAGGCAUGACUUCUUUCACUCAGUACGUGUGUAUAGGGAAU